AGGAUGAACGCUGGCGGCGUGCCUAAAACAUGCAAGUCAUACGGGCUACCUUCGGGUAGCCAGUGGCAAACGGGUGAGUAACACGUGGGAACGCGCCUUGGGGUGGGGAAUAACGCUGAGAAAUCAGUGCUAAUACCGCAUACGGUCUAACGACUAAAGCAGCAAUGCGCCCCGAGAGCGGCCCGCGACCGAUUAGCUAGUUGGUGGGGUAAUGGCCUACCAAGGCGGUGAUCGGUAGCUGGUCUGAGAGGAUGGUCAGCCACACUGGGACUGCGAACGGCCCAGACUCCUACGGGAGGCAGCAGUUAGGAAUUUUCGGCAAUGGACGAAAGUCUGACCGAGCGACGCCGCGUGGAGGAUGACGCCUUUCGGGGGUGUAAACUCCUUUUCUGCGGGAAGAUAAUGACGGUACCGCAGGAAUAAGCACCGGCUAACUACGCGCCAGCAGCCGC
rnacentral:rRNA from 1 species